CUAACCAAGAGAUCGAAAGUUUGAAUCCGCCAGGCGCUCCUUGGAAACUCUAUGGGGCAGUUCUACUCUGUCCUAUAGGGUCGCUAUGAGUCAUAAUCGACUGGACGGCAAUGGUUUUGUUUUCAAUCACUAUACCAUAAAUUACAUUUUCAAUACACUGCACAAAAAUAUAGUACCUAAGGUGUUUAAACGUAUACUUUUGGGUUUGGAUCGAUCUGUUACUGUUCCUUAAGAACGACCACAAAAUUUCAGUAUAAUUGAAUAGUAAUGUCUUUUAUUUUUCUUGUGCAUGAAUUUUCAGGUUGACUUAGGUGACUCUGCUUCACACUGUAUAUCUACCAGUCGCCUCUGCUCUAUGCGUUUCUGAUCCUUCUCGGAGCGAAGGUGCUCAAGAAAUAUUUAAGAGAUAAAUGGACACAUAAAUCAGUGAAUACGAAGAGUUGAGAUGUUGAAGUUUUCCAGAGUAAUAGCAACAACAGCAAAAGCAGUGCUCAUCCACCAGAUAGCAUGAUGUGGUCUCUAUUUGGCUGAUGAAGAUUUACAAGUUUGAGUGUAGUGCUGAAAGUUGCUGUCGAGUUGAUUCCAACUCACGGCAGCCGCAUGUGUGUGGAGUAGAACUGCUCCGUGUGGUUUUCAAGGCUGUGACCUUUCAAAAGAAGAUGACCAGGCCUUUCUUCCGAGGCACCUCUGGGUGAGUUUGAACUGACAGCCUUUCAGCUGGUAGUUAAGUGCUUAACUGUUUGUACCACCAAAAAUUCUGUUACAUAUUUAAGAAAAUUUAAAGAAGAAAUGUGCUCCAGAUUUGAUUUCUUUUAAAUAUAUAUAUCAUGUACACACACACGUACAGAUACAAACAUCUUCGGAGUAGAACACCAUGAUGGACAGGAAGUUUAGCCUCAUCAGUUAAACACAUUUCAAGCUCUUCUCACACACAUAUUCUAUUCUCAUAGUCAUAGUCAUCUGCACCAUACAGUUGGGAAUAUGAAAGUCAACUUAUUGAAAAGAGCCUCAUUUAAAAUCACAUUUCACAGAAUGAUCCCUGACAUAAAUUGUCCACCCUUUAUGCACACAAUAGACCUUCAUUAACUCCACUUACCAGGCAUAAGAAUAUUAAAAGACUUUGAGCAAAAAGAGAGUGUGCGGAUCUGGCCACCUGGGGAGUAGCAAUUUGUUGUAUUGAAUUAGGCAUAACCUGCAACAAAUUAACAUUUGAUUAAUGAAGUUGAACACUGUGUGUCUAUGUUUGUAUGUGCAGAAGGAUCAUGAAAAAUGAGCAGAAUUUUCUGUCUGUCUGAGGGAAGUGGGAUGGGACGGAUUACAUCAGGGCUCAUGAACUGUUUAACUUAGAGAAGUUGUGCUCUCAAGACUAGCCAGUCAGGGGGGGACUACCCUGUGGGGCAACUAGUGCAUACUGCUUCCUGCCAGCACAAACACAAGGAUCAGCCCCUAAGGGGGAAAAUAGGAAUCUAAAGUCCUCGUGUGAGGUUACUUCUGCAACCAAGGCAGUUAGCAAGUUAAAAGCAAUGGAGAGCAGGAGGCAGUACCACUUGUGAGGGUUUUAGAUGAGCACACAGUGUGUAGGAAAGGUUGAGAUGUCCACUGUGACAUAAACUUUUGUUCUGUCAUUUGUAGGACAUUGGAAAGUGCUGGAAUUGUGAGAGAUUCAUUUUAUUUAAAUAAAUUAUUUUGAGAAUGGGUGAUGAGAAGAUGGAAAUAAAUGUAGUCAGAGGAACAGAAACAUUAGACACGUUUGUGCACUUAUGAAUGAUAACAUACAAUAAGGAAGGCUUGGCAGGAAACAUGAUUUUAGUACCAGUAGACAAGGAACCCUGAUGGCUCAAUGGUUAAGAGCUCGGCUGCUAAGACAAAAGUCGUUGAUUCAGAGCCAUCCAGUGGCUGAGUGGGAGAAAGACCUGGCAAUCUCUUUCUGUAAAGAUUACAGCCAAGAAAACCCAUGGGGCCUUUCUGCUCUGUCACAGGAGUCACUAUGAGUUGGAAUCAACUCGACAGCACUCAACAACAGCAGGACAAACUGCAGUACUUCUCUAUGACGUGGAAGCAAGAUUCAUGAUUGCAAAGAAAACCUCCAAUAUUUCUAAAAAUCCCAAAUGAAAGCCCAUAUUUAGUGAGUGCCCUCUAUAUACCAUGCACUCUGCAUUUCUUAUUUCAUUUAAUCCUCACAACAAACAUCUGAGUUGGGAAUUUUAUCAUCCCCAUUUCAAACAUGUAUUAGCUGAUAGCUAUCAUAAUGUCACACAUAAUUAGGUAAACCAAACCUGUUGCUGAUGAGCCGAUUCCAGUUCAUGGCUACCCCAUGUGUUUCAGACUAGUACUGUGUUCCACAGGGCUUUCAAUGGCUGUGAUCUUUCAGAAGU